CCAGGCUGGAGUGCAGUGGUGCAAGCUUGGCUCACUGCAACCUCCACCUCCCUGGUUUAAGCAAUUCUCACACCUCAGCCUCCCAAGUAGCUGGGAUUACAGGCGUGCACAGGCAUGCACCACCAUGGCUGGCUAAUUUUUGUAUUUUUAGUAGAGAUGGGGUUUCACCACAAUGGCCAGGCUGGUCUCGAACUCCUGGCCUCAAGUGAUCUGCCCGCCUCAGCCUCCCAAAGUACUGGGAUUAUAGGCACGAGCUAUUGUUACCGGCCAUCUGCAUUCUAAAAAGACCCCUGGUGAUUUGUGUGCACAGCACAGGAUGGGACGUGCUGCUCUAUGGGACCUUCAGAAUCCAUGUAAGAGACCCCUAUGCUUAAGCCUCUCUGGAUGGGCUUCAGCUCCUCACAGCCAUCAGGGACCAUGCCUGGCCGGAUGCUGCCGCCUGGCUUCAGUGCCAUCUGCAUGUCCUCAGGGAUGACAAAGGACUCAUUGUACCAGAUGUCAAAUUCUACAAGGAGAGACGGGGUCUCACUGUAUUGCCCAGGCUGGUCUCGAACUCCUGUACUCAAGCAAUCCACCCGCCUCAGCCUCCCAAAGUGCUGAGAUUACAGGCGUGAGCCACUUCGCCUGGCCUAGGAGAUAUGAGUUUACUUGAUCUGUUCAAGUAAAUUCAAU
rnacentral:lncRNA from 10 species